UUAUUUUAAGUUAUUAAUAACCAACUCCAGGAACAAAGACGAUGCUGUAUAAAGACUAUACGAAUGUUCAACAGUAAGAAAGAGAGGAUAUCAGCUUCAACCAAUUAAUGAGAAUUGAAGAAUACAGAUUACAGCAACGAGCUUCAUGGCAUAGAUAAGUGAUGAAUACCCUGAAAAAAUACACAUAACUCCAUCACUACCCUUACUCAGUAGGAACGAACCUUUCAACUGACAAAACAAAAUGUGAAACCUUUGUAAACCUUGUUAGGCAGCUGCGAAUAGUAAGUACAAGAAGUGAAAAAUAUUCUUCUCGGUUAAAUUUUUCUACAAACUGUUCAAUAAUUAUUAUUUCAUGAAAUGUGAUCAUUUCUACUUUUACGUU